rnacentral:rRNA from 1 species
AGCGUGGGGAGCAAACAGGAUUAGAUACCCUGGUAGUCCACGCCGUAAACGAUGUCGAUUUGGAGGUUGUGCCCUUGAGGCGUGGCUUCCGGAGCUAACGCGUUAAAUCGACCGCCUGGGGAGUACGGCCGCAAGGUUAAAACUCAAAUGAAUUGACGGGGGCCCGCACAAGCGGUGGAGCAUGUGGUUUAAUUCGAUGCAACGCGAAGAACCUUACCUGGUCUUGACAUCCACAGAACUUUCCAGAGAUGGAUUGGUGCCUUCGGGAACUGUGAGACAGGUGCUGCAUGGCUGUCGUCAGCUCGUGUUGUGAAAUGUUGGGUUAAGUCCCGCAACGAGCGCAACCCUUAUCCUUUGUUGCCAGCGGUCCGGCCGGGAACUCAAAGGAGACUGCCAGUGAUAAACUGGAGGAAGGUGGGGAUGACGUCAAGUCAUCAUGGCCCUUACGACCAGGGCUACACACGUGCUACAAUGGCAUAUACAAAGAGAAGCGACCUCGCGAGAGCAAGCGGACCUCAUAAAGUAUGUCGUAGUCCGGAUUGGAGUCUGCAACUCGACUCCAUGAAGUCGGAAUCGCUAGUAAUCGUAGAUCAGAAUGCUACGGUGAAUACGUUCCCGGGCCUUGUACACACCGCCCGUCACACCAUGGGAGUGGGUUGCAAAAGAAGUAGGUAGCUUAACCUUCGGGAGGGCGCUUACCACUUUGUGAUUCAUGACUGGGGUGAAGUCGUAACAAGGUAACCGUAGGGGAACCUGCGGUUG